rnacentral:rRNA from 1 species
GAUGAACGCUGGCGGCGUGCCUAAUACAUGCAAGUCGAGCGAACAGACGAGGAGCUUGCUCCUUUGACGUUAGCGGCGGACGGGUGAGUAACACGUGGGUAACCUACCUAUAAGACUGGGAUAACUUCGGGAAACCGGAGCUAAUACCGGAUAAUAUUUCGAACCGCAUGGUUCGAUAGUGAAAGAUGGCUUUGCUAUCACUUAUAGAUGGACCUGCGCCGUAUUAGCUAGUUGGUAAGGUAACGGCUUACCAAGGCAACGAUACGUAGCCGACCUGAGAGGGUGAUCGGCCACACUGGAACUGAGACACGGUCCAGACUCCUACGGGAGGCAGCAGUAGGGAAUCUUCCGCAAUGGGCGAAAGCCUGACGGAGCAACGCCGCGUGAGUGAUGAAGGUCUUCGGAUCGUAAAACUCUGUUAUUAGGGAAGAACAAACGUGUAAGUAACUGUGCACGUCUUGACGGUACCUAAUCAGAAAGCCACGGCUAACUACGUGCCAGCAGCCGCGGUAAUACGUAGGUGGCAAGCGUUAUCCGGAAUUAUUGGGCGUAAAGCGCGCGUAGGCGGUUUUUUAAGUCUGAUGUGAAAGCCCACGGCUCAACCGUGGAGGGUCAUUGGAAACUGGAAAACUUGAGUGCAGAAGAGGAAAGUGGAAUUCCAUGUGUAGCGGUGAAAUGCGCAGAGAUGUGGAGGAACACCAGUGGCGAAGGCGACUUUCUGGUCUGUAACUGACGCUGAUGUGCGAAAGCGUGGGGAUCAAACAGGAUUAGAUACCCUGGUAGUCCACGCCGUAAACGAUGAGUGCUAAGUGUUAGGGGGUUUCCGCCCCUUAGUGCUGCAGCUAACGCAUUAAGCACUCCGCCUGGGGAGUACGACCGCAAGGUUGAAACUCAAAGGAAUUGACGGGGACCCGCACAAGCGGUGGAGCAUGUGGUUUAAUUCGAAGCAACGCGAAGAACCUUACCAAAUCUUGACAUCCUUUGACCCUUCUAGAGAUAGAAGUUUCCCCUUCGGGGGACAAAGUGACAGGUGGUGCAUGGUUGUCGUCAGCUCGUGUCGUGAGAUGUUGGGUUAAGUCCCGCAACGAGCGCAACCCUUAAGCUUAGUUGCCAUCAUUAAGUUGGGCACUCUAAGUUGACUGCCGGUGACAAACCGGAGGAAGGUGGGGAUGACGUCAAAUCAUCAUGCCCCUUAUGAUUUGGGCUACACACGUGCUACAAUGGACAAUACAAAGGGCAGCGAAACCGCGAGGUCAAGCAAAUCCCAUAAAGUUGUUCUCAGUUCGGAUUGUAGUCUGCAACUCGACUACAUGAAGCUGGAAUCGCUAGUAAUCGUAGAUCAGCAUGCUAUGGUGAAUACGUUCCCGGGUCU